CUGUCACCCCGGAGCACCCAGCCCGUGAGCGCUCGGCGCAGGGCACCCCCCCGUGCCUGGCACACGCCUGCCCCGUGUCGGGGGGCUCAGCAAGAGGCGCGGACACGGGGGGAGGGACAUUGCACAAGGGGCAGGAGGAGUGAAGCUCCAGCACAAAGAGGCUUGUACACCAGCCAACAUCUCGCCCAGCCCGGGGUCCCUGCGCCGCGGUGUCUCACGGAAAUCAGGUGAGGAUGCUCUUAUCUUGGUUUUCUCUUUUGUCUGGGUGAAACGGUCCCCUUCCCCAUGGUCACAGCCUUCUGUCGGGGUGUUCUCCCAGGACUCAGCCUGUCCCCACAUUGCCAGCUUCUCGGCACCACCAGCACUGAGGUGUGGUGUGUGCACAGAGACAUGCCGAUAAAUAGGUGUUGAUAAAACUCGGUGUGGAAACCAGAGGGGGGUUUCCCUAGCAAAUGGGGACAUACCUUGGAAAGGGGCCAGCGAGGACUGGCCUUCAGCUCCUUGGUUCAUCACCAAAAAUGUCCAUCAGUGCCCUGCUAUUUCCCAUCGAUCUCUGGGUCAUUCCUGGUGGGGAAACGGACCGCAGUGAGGAGGCUAAGGACACCCUCUGCCUUCGCUGACUCCUUUGUGAAGUGGAAUGAUCAGUUGUGAGUUGUCAUUGCCUUUUCCUAACCUCGUUCCCGGCCCUGUCUGCACGGACAAUAGCACAGCGAGGCAGGCGCUGGGCGGAGACAGGGCUCCAUUUUCAGCACUGAGCAGCUGAGGGCUCAGAUUAACUGAUAUGCCACUUGUCUGUAUUUUCUUUCCAGAAGCAUCUUUUUGAUCCACAUCAAGAAUAGGGUUUAAGACAGCUGCUAAUGACUGACCUGAGGUCUGUUCACACACAGUCCCCUGCGUGGCCGGAGCAGCAAGACAAGCUGGGGGGUUAUUUUACAGUGUUCUCGUAGCCAGUGGUGCCAGAGACACCAGCUGCCCGAGGGAUGCUCCGUCCCGCUCCCCGGUGGGAUUCCUGAGUCCUGGCGACCCGAUGGCAGCGCCGUGGAGGUGCCCUGGCAAGGAAGGGGCGGCAGUGAGUCACAGCACCUCAGACUGGCACCAUGAUUUGCUGGUUUCUGUUCUUUGCCAUAAAUCCCCAGGAGCCAGUGUGGCUCCAGAGAGGAUCACACUGACUGGGCUGGCGUGUGAGCGUAGCCAUGAGGCAGUCUGCACGGAGCUGUGGGAGCAGCACGCACAGGACACUGCCUAGGGUAUUGCUUAGUGACGACACCUGGAAGAUUUGAGCCUGUAGCAAAUGCCACGUGUCAGCCUGUGAGUGUAGACUGCCCGAUAGAUCGCGGCCCAGCGCAUCCCCCCGUUUCACAGUGGGAGAGGGCUGUGAGACGGAGCGUGGCUAAGGUUAGCUCUGGGUCUUGCCAGGUCACUUCUCCGAGCCAGUGCAAAUCCCGAUGCCUCGGCCCUUUCACAGAGUUCAUUCCCUGGGAAGGAGAACAAGAGCUAAUGGCUGGGGAACGUUCUAGACGUUUACGAAUGGGGGUGAUGCCAAAGCAGUUCAUGCUUGUCUGAAACCUCCCCCUGGAAAGAGAAUGGAUUCCUUGGGGCAGUGGGCCAGGAAGGCGGGGCUGGGUUUGCAGCGUCCCUCUGCAGAUUAUCCUCAGGGCUGAGAGGUGCAGGCUACUUCCUUCACCCGAUCGGUAUGAAUGAUGCUGCUUAGCCUUUCUGGCUUGCCGGGGUGUUCGCCACCCCCCUGAGUGAUAGCCCGGGGUGCUAGGAGCCGAGGGGUCACCUGGCCGCGGUGGUAGCGCUGGAAAUUCUGAAUGGGAACUGGUAGUGGUGGGAGGAGCUUAAGGAACAAGUUCACCCUACUGGCCUUUCGUCACCGGCUCAUGCCGUGACUUUUCUCCUUCGGAAAACGUUCCUUUUGUAAAUGGAGCUGAGCCCGGUGGGGGCCAGCGGGUCUGCUCUGAAUUUCCCUGAGCCCCUGGAGCUUGUGUGACUUGAUCUCCUCGUGUCAGCACGAUAGCUCGGGGCUCAGAGGGACCCGGCUGUCCCUGGGCAGCCUGGCUCCUCCACCACUGUUCGUGCAUUGUCUCUAUCACCUGUAGGUGACAUUCUGGGGCUUUUCUCUGCCAUGCCUGUCCUGUGCAGCGGGUGUCAAGCUGUAAUAAGGGGAGAGUGCGACAGGGAGAUUAGCUUGCCCUGAUGCCUGUCUGCUGGGCUGUGUGUUUAAAAACCUGUCAGCCUCCAGAGCAAUGUGGAGCACCCAGGAUUAAAUGCCACUUCUCAGAACUCCCCUGAGCCACAUUCCUCCAUCACCGGUAAAUGUAACAACUCCAGCCCUUUCCUGCUGCUGGGAGGUGGGUGGGAACGCGCCCCAGGGAGGUCAGAGAGCA